UAGUGAGAACAGUGCCCCUUGAACUCUUCAAGGUUCCCUCAGUGGUGAUCAAUAUGUUGACCAAUUUGGAUAUAGUGCAAUCAAGUUUGUUCAUAUAAAAAUUUAUAAUAAAUUAGCUAUAUGAACUCAUAAAGGAUUGAAUGAUCAAAUUCAUCUGCAAUUCUUUUUGCAUAUCAAGCCCGAGCUUUUCAAGAACCUCAAUAUCUUCGAUCACCAUCA
rnacentral:lncRNA from 1 species